rnacentral:rRNA from 1 species
UACGUAGGUGGCAAGCGUUAUCCGGAUUUAUUGGGUGUAAAGGGCGUGUAGGCGGGAGCGCAAGUCAGAUGUGAAAACUCAGGGCUCAACCCUGAGCCUGCAUUUGAAACUGUGUUUCUUGAGUGCUGGGGAGGCAAUCGGAAUUCCGUGUGUAGCGGUGAAAUGCGUAGAUGUACGGAGGAACACCAGUGGCGAAGGCGGAUUGCUGGACAGUAACUGACGCUGAGGCGCGAAAGCGUGGGGAGCAAACAGG